CAGUCGCCACGGUAAUACGUAGGUGGCAAGCGUUGUCCGGAAUUAUUGGGCGUAAAGGGCUCGCAGGCGGUUUCUUAAGUCUGAUGCGAAAGCCCCCGGCUCAACCGGGGAGGGUCAUUGGAAACUGGGAAACUUGAGUGCAGAAGAGGAGAGUGGAAUUCCACGUGUAGCGGUGAAAUGCGUAGAGAUGUGGAGGAACACCAGUGGCGAAGGCGACUCCCUGGUCCGUAACUGACGCUGAGGAGCGAAAGCGUGGGGAGCGAACAGGAUUAGAUACCCGUGUAGUCCCUGUCUCUUAUAA
rnacentral:rRNA from 1 species